AUGUGUGAUGCAAAGGUGCUACAUGAUUAAACAGUGCAUCUGCCAGCUGUGAACUUCUGCAGCUCUGAUAAAUUAUGCAAGUCACUUGAUCCAUUCAGAUUUGACUCAGAAUAUUGGGUUGCACGUUAUUUUACAGUACGUGUACUAACGUACUUAUAGUGUACUUACAGUGUAUUUAUCUAAGAAGGUUCUGGUAACACAAGGUAACUACAUGGGGUAGGGUUAGAUUUAGGGGUACACUGUAAAAAAUAAUUCAGUGGCUUAGUAAAUUUCACAAAAAUAAAGAGCUAUAUUAACUUAAUAAAAUCUUUUGAAAUCAUUUAAGUGAUAUUUUGAGUGGGUCAGAUUAAAAAUAAUAAUUAAAAAUCCAACAAAUAAUUUCUCUAAAAUUUACAUAUAUUAUUUAAGUUUAUGUAAUGAAAAUAAAUAAGUAUUUAACUAACUAAUUAUAUUUUUAAUAUACCUUCAAUAUUUCUGGUGAAUUCUAAUAGAAAUAUUUGAUAAUUAUUUACUUGUACUGAUCUGUUUUAGAAACUAAAAUUAUUAAGUAUUUCCUACCAAUUUUCCUAAAUAAAGUUCCAGCUUAAUAAAUGACAGUUAAAUAAAUUGAGUAAAUUUCGCGGCUAAAGUGAUCACGUGUGCAGCUCCGCAGGAAAAAAAAAAAAUCUGCUUUCCUCAGCAGCGACGUCGACUAGCCAUACACCUCACAACUCCUGUUUCGUAGCUUAAUCGAAGUCACCUGAAGGACGGCUUUCCUCAGCAACGGCAAGGCCCGCACUCCUCUCAUAUUGUGAAGUUUAACAAGUUUCGCGGCUCAAACAAGAGGCACCUGUCACUGAAGGACUGCUUUUCUCAGCUACGACGUGAACAGCAUCACUCGAAUUUCCUGGUUCAGCUGAUCUACCCAUCUUCGUACAAGCAGAGUUGGCAGAGGAGGUCAUAAAAAUCUACAUCCUUCGGGACAAUGAUGGGGCAGUCAGCGAUGUAAUCUUGGGAAUCACAGCAGAGCCUGCUGCCAUCUUUUGGGAGUCACAUUGGAUUUGAGAUAUCCCAAGACCCACAAAUACAGGUCCUUCUCCAAAAAUUAGCAUAUUGUGAUAAAGUUCAUUAUUUUCCUUAAUGUAAUGAUAAAAAUUAAACUUUCAUAUAUUUUAGAUUCAUUGCACACCAACUGAAAUAUUUCAGGUCUUUUAUUGUUUAAAUACUGAUGCUUUUGGCAUACAGCUCAUGAAAACCCAAAAUUCCUAUCUCAAAAAAUUAGCUUAUUUUUACCUUUAUUUUUAGCUUUAUUAUUUACCAAUAAAAGAAAUAUUAUUUACCAAUAAAAGAAAAGUGUUUUUAAUACAAAAAAGUCAACCU
rnacentral:lncRNA from 1 species